rnacentral:tRNA from 1 species
AUUUAAAUAGUUUAAUAAAAAAUUUUGAUUUGUGGUGUCAAAGAUAUAGAUUUAUUUUAAAUU